GAGUCAGAUUGUUGUCAAAAGUGUUGGGUUUAAGUUAUCGUCAAAAAUGAAGAAAGAGGGAAAGAGGAAGAGCUGAGCAAAUUUCCUAAACAGACUUUAGGACUUGAGUGUGGUUAAGUGUGGGCACAAGGCAAGACGUGUGGGGACCUCCAGAUCGGGUGCGGAAGGCUUCAGCUACAAUCUCAGGUUUGGGGUAAGAAAAUGGAGAUCUGUCUGAUGACUCGUGCCUAGCUUGUUUUUCUUAUUAUAGACAAAAGAGAUAGAUAUUACAACAAUAAUAAUAAUUUUUUAUUUCACCUUAUUCCUUCCCCAGCUUUUAUUUCUUCUGUUUUAUCCAUGCCUACCUUUUCCUUUUUUCUAAAUAUUCCACAUUCUAUUUAAAUUUGCUCUUGAUAUAUUCAUCCUGGAAUGAAUAUUACAUUUUCGUGUCAUUUCCCUCUCUUAAAUUGACUGUUCCUCCUUCUGUCCCUUGGUUCCAGCUUUCCCUAAUAGUUUUGUUUUUCAAAUCAUCAAUUGCCUGUUUUUUCUUACUAUAUAUAUAUUUUCUCAUUCCAUUUCCUCUUUUUCUCUUUUCUUUUUCUUUUUUGCUCGUUCCUUAUUACUACUGAUUCUGUCAUCCUAUCAUUAGUAUUUGACUCUGGAAUCUUCUUUUCUCCAUUAUAGUUGAAUUUUAGUUUCAGGAUUUCAUUUAUCUUUUUAAUUACUGUCAGCUAACUCAGUAUUCAAAACUUAAAAAAAAAAAGGUAAAAUACCUUUUAGCUAAAACAUUUGGAGAAAUAUAGAAAGUUAUCUUAUUCUAAAAGGUUAGACUCAGAUUCAUAUAUACUUUCAGAGUUCCCAUUGUGGCUCAGUGGCAACAAACCCGACUAGCAUCCAUGGAGUAUGCAGGUUUGAUCCCUGGCCUUGCUCAGUGGGUUGGAGAUCCAGCAUUGCCUUGAGCUGUGGGGUAGGUUGCAGAUGUGACUUGGAUCCCACAUUGCUGUGGCUGUGGUACAGACUGGCAGCUGUAGCUCCAAUUCAAACCCUAGCCUGGGAACAUCCAUAUGUCCCAGGUUCAGCCUAAAAAAAUCGGUAUGAUACACACACACACACACACGCACACACACAUAUAUACUUAUAUGCAUAUAUAUACAUAAUGCUUUCAUUACAAGACAGAUACUAUGUGUUAUUUAAAAUAUAAUUCACUGUAUCUUUCUUUUUCUUAGCAAUGCCAAAGGCUUUUCAGUUAUGUGAUUAUUUAUAGUAAAAAGACUAUUGUCCUGACUUCAUUGGAACUAGGAUUUGAAAACCCUCCUAGUUGUGAAUAUGUGAAAGUCACCUAAGUUGCUGAAUUUCAGUGUCAAAACUGCAAAAUAAAAAUAAAGUCAAGAAGGGAGUUCCUGUUGUGGCAUAGCAGAAACAAAACCGACUAGUAUCCAUGAGGACUCAGUUUGAUCCCUGGCCUCACGCAGUGGGUUAAGACUCUGGUGUUGCUGUGAGCUGUGGUGUAGGCUCAGAUCCCUCAUGGCUGUGGCUGUGGUGUAGGCCGGCAGCUAUAGCUCCAAUUCGACCCCUACCCUGGGAAUUUCCAUAUACCAUGGGUGGGGCCCUAAAAUAAAUAAAUAAAUAAAUAAAUAAAGACAAGAAGAGAUGAUUGCUAUUGGACAUUGUCAAUGCUGUGGCUUCGGUCGCUGCUGUGGCAAGAGUUCCAACCCCAGCCUGGGAAAUUCCAUAUACCUGAAGCAUGGCCAAAAAAAAAAAAAAACAGAGAUGAUUGCUAACACUUUCCUUUCAGUCCUAGAAUUCUAUGACUCUAUCCUUCUCCCAAUAUUUUAUGGGUCUUUUCAUAAAUAUGUGCAUAGGACAGUGAAUCAAGGUAGCUGCCACGGGCAACAGGAAGUUCCCCUGACAAGACUUGAAUUUUGGAAUAAGCACAGCUACAGAAGGAAAAUGAGCAUCACUUCUGUUUUUAUUGUUUUGUUUUGUUCUUUGACCUUUUGCCUUUUUCUAGGGCCACUCCUGAGGCUUUUUAUUAUUUUGUUGCCUCAGUUUUUCCUUAACUUCUGCUGAUCCCUAUGACAGCAUUUUGUUGACUCAGCAGGACCUCUGAGUCACAAAAUUAUUUUGGAUCCCUAUGAAAGGAAACACAAAAUGCUGUUUUGGACAGUAAGAACUGGGAACUGGAAAACGAAAAAGGAAGUUAGAAGUGACAGCAUCCUUACUGGUUUAAAUGGAUGAAACUAAGAAUUUUUAAUUUAGUUGAAAAAGGGAAAAAAAAGUAAACCCCCCAAAAUGAUCAUCCAUCUGUUCAAAUAAUUUUUAAUCUUUCGGUUUCACAAGAUGCGCUACAUUCUAUAAAACAAGCAUUUAGGGAACAAGACUCUUUUUUACCAUUAUGAAAUUUAGGACGGGUAGGAGAGCCAUGAAAAUAAUAACACAAGACAAAAUGCAUCAUCCCAAAGAGAAUAUGAAAAGAAGUUCAACUCACACGCCACACAAAAUUUCAGGAGGCUGAAGAAUUAAAUUAUGAUUGAGAUUAUAAGAGAGGUUUCAAGGAAGAUACAUUAGAGCUUGCUUGAUCUUAAAGAAUGGCUAGGAUUUCAACAGGGAGAAAUUAAGAGUGGAGGAAAGAGGAAGUUAAGGGGGAGGCUGUAAUUCCAGACAGAAUGAAACAGUGUUAGCCAAGGAAUAGAAAAUGGCAUUAACUUGGAAUAGUGAUUUUUUUCAGGAAAGCCAUAAAGUAGAGUAAGUUUACAAGAAUGUUGAAAAUUAAGGAAGGCCAGAAGAGGGUAGUAAGGGACCAGUGUAUCAAAUGAGAUGUAUAUUGUGGAGGCUAGACAGGGGAAAAGAUGCUUGGAUUUGUUGUCUGGAUGUAGUUUCAGCAGAGUGAUGAGGCAAAAGACCACUUGCAAAGGUCAAGAAAUGAGUGGUAAGAACAAUAAACCUCAAAAUGAGCCAGUGUCCUUGGAAAAGACAAACUAAGUUAAAUUAAGAGAUUAAAAAGCUUCUUGAAGCAAAGUAUGGUCCUAGAUUGGAUCUAAUUGUUGACAAAUCAUCUCUAAAGGGCAUUUGGAGGAUAGAUGGAAAAAGUGGCUCAAGUCUGAUUAUCCUUUAAGGUACGAUCUUACUGCAUAUUGUGGAGACUGCUCGUUGAUAAAAGAAAGCAGUUUAUAUAAGAAAAUGAGCUUUUACACCCAUGUUCAUAGCAGAAUUAUCCGCAAUAGCCAAAAUGUGGAAGCAAUGCAAAGGUCCAUCAAUGAUGAAUGGAUAAGCAAAACGUGGUACAACCUUAUGGUGGAAUAUUGUUCAACCUGAAAAAGGAAGAAAAUUCUGACACAUGCUACAACAUGGAUGACCCUUAAGGACAUUUUGCAAAUGAAAUAAGCCAGUUACAAAAAGACAAAUGCUAUGUGAUACCUUUUAUGUGGAUUAUCUAGAAUAGUCAAAUACAGAAACUGAAAACAGGAAGGUGAUUUCCGGGAGCUGGAGGAAAGGGAAGUAAGGAGUUAUUGACUAAUAGGUAUAAAGUUUCGAUUUACAAGUUGAGAAAGUUCUGGAAACUGUGCGAUAAUGUAAAUAUACCUAACAUUGCUGAGCACUUAAAAAUAGUUAAGAUGGUAUAUUUUAUGUUAUCUGUAUUUCACCUCAAUCCUAAAAAUUGAAGAACUAAUAUGCACAGUGUAAUCUAAUUUUGAUAAAUUUUGCUUAACAAAAAAUAUGCAUACAUAUAGUAUACACAUAUGUGUGUGAAAGAAGAUCUAGAAGGAUGUAAAUUAAGGCGCUAAAGGAGUAAUCACUCACUAAUAGUAGAUGACAUUUUUAUUUUCUUAUUUUUGCUUGUUUAUGCUUUCUCAUUUUCUUCAUGCAUAUUUUCUGCUUCUGUGAUAACCAAGCUAUUUUCCCCAAGUUAUAUUCAUUACAAAGUAAAUAAACAAGAAAUAAAUAAUAGGCGUUCCCACUGUGGUGCAGCUCAGUUUGCUGCAGAGGUGAGGGUUUGAUCCCUGGCCUGGGAACUUCCAUAUGC
rnacentral:lncRNA from 1 species